GAUGAACGCUAGCUACAGGCUUAACACAUGCAAGUCGAGGGGCAUCAUGGAGGCAGCUUGCUGUCUCUGAUGGCGACCGGCGAAUGGGUGAGUAACGCGUAUCCAACCUUCCCUUAACUUGGGAAUAGCCCGGUGAAAACCGGAUUAAUGCCCGAUGUGGUCCAGCGAGGGCAUCUGACCCGGACCAAAGAUUUUGUCGGUUAAGGAUGGGGAUGCGUCUGAUUAGCUUGUUGGCGGGGUAACGGCCCACCAAGGCUACGAUCAGUAGGGGUUCUGAGAGGAAGGUCCCCCACAUUGGAAACUGAGACACGGUCCAAACUCC
rnacentral:rRNA from 1 species